rnacentral:rRNA from 1 species
GAUGAACGCUGGCGGCGUGCCUAAUACAUGCAAGUCGAGCGAACGGACGAGAAGCUUGCUUUUCUGAUGUUAGCGGCGGACGGGUGAGUAACACGUGGAUAACCUACCUAUAAGACUGGGAUAACUUCGGGAAACCGGAGCUAAUACCGGAUAAUAUUUUGAACCGCAUGGUUCAAAAGUGAAAGACGGUCUUGCUGUCACUUAUAGAUGGAUCCGCGCUGCAUUAGCUAGUUGGUAAGGUAACGGCUUACCAAGGCAACGAUGCAUAGCCGACCUGAGAGGGUGAUCGGCCACACUGGAACUGAGACACGGUCCAGACUCCUACGGGAGGCAGCAGUAGGGAAUCUUCCGCAAAGGGCGAAAGCCUGACGGAACAACGCCGCGUGAGUGAUGAAGGUCUUCGGAUCGUAAAACUCUGUUAUUAGGGAAGAACAUAUGUGUAAGUAACUGUGCACAUCUUGACGGUACCUAAUCAGAAAGCCACGGCUAACUUCGUG